rnacentral:rRNA from 1 species
GUGGGGAAUAUUGGACAAUGGGGGGAACCCUGAUCCAGCUAUGCCGCGUGUGUGAAGAAGGCCUUUUGGUUGUAAAGCACUUUAAGCGAGGAGGAGGCUACCGAGAUUAAUACUCUUGGAUAGUGGACGUUACUCGCAGAAUAAGCACCGGCUAACUCUGUGCCAGCAGCCGCGGUAAUACAGAGGGUGCAAGCGUUAAUCGGAUUUACUGGGCGUAAAGCGCGCGUAGGUGGCCAAUUAAGUCAAAUGUGAAAUCCCCGAGCUUAACUUGGGAAUUGCAUUCGAUACUGGUUGGCUAGAGUAUGGGAGAGGAUGGUAGAAUUCCAGGUGUAGCGGUGAAAUGCGUAGAGAUCUGGAGGAAGACCGAUGGCGAAGGCAGCCAUCUGGCCUAAUACUGACACUGAGGUGCGAAAGCAUGGGGAGCAAACAGGAUUAGAAACCCUAGUAGUCC